UUAAUUAAAACCAAAAUAGAGGUAAAUUAUUGUUAAUAAUUUUAUUGAAUUUUAUAUUCUAAUUAA
rnacentral:tRNA from 1 species